CAAGAGCGUAUGUAAAAGUUGUUGCAGUUAAAAAGCUCGUAGUUGAACCUUGGGUUUGGUUGGCCGGUCCGCUUUUUUGCGAGUACUGGAUUCAACCGAGCCUUUCCUUCUGGCUAACCAGUCGUCUCGGCGGCUGGCGAACCAGGAUUUUUACUUUGAGAAAAUUAGAGUGUUCAAAGCAGGCAUUAGCUUGAAUAUAUUAGCAUGGAAUAAUAGAAUAGGACGUUAUGGUUCUAUUUUGUUGGUUUCUAGGACCAUCGUAAUGAUUAAUAGGGACGGUCGGGGGCAUCAGUAUUCAGUUGUCAGAGGUGAAAUUCUUGGAUUUACUGAAGACUAACUACUGCGAAAGCAUUUGCCAAGGACGUUUUCAUUAA
rnacentral:rRNA from 1 species